rnacentral:rRNA from 1 species
CUUGACCUCAAAUCAGGUAGGACUACCCGCUGAACUUAGCA